rnacentral:pre_miRNA from 1 species
UACGUACUCCCUCCGUCCGAAAAUACUUGUCAUCAAAAUGAAUAAAAGGGGAUGUAUCUAGAUGUAUUUUAAUUCUAGAUACAUUCCUUUUUGUCUAUUUUGAUGACAAGUUUUUUUGGACGGAGGGAGUAUAAU